AUGCAGCCGGCUUACGCUGUCUCCGCCGACGGGCUGAUUCGCCUCAUCUCUGUUUUGAGCCAUCGGACUCCAACUCCGAGGGGCCUCCGCUCCGACCUGUUCCAACUCGGCCUCGCUCUGGCCUGCCCUCAACCACUGGCCCACGUGCCUCCCCCGCGGCCUCCGGCUCACGCGCCGUGCGACCCACGUUCAGCUGCCGUUUCCAUCGUGGCCUCGAGCGACCACUUCUUCCGAAACCUUGCUCCACCAGGGGCCGCCACAGUUCUUUUCGGCCUCCAUGCUGUGAACCACUGCUGCGCGGUGAGUGUACAGGGGAGAGCCGUCCGCACCGUGAGCUGCCCUCACCGCCGCUGA
rnacentral:rRNA from 1 species